rnacentral:rRNA from 1 species
UCAAGACAUAAAAUCUAUUUAAAUAAUAAAAGCUACUGCUUCAAACUUAAAGAACAUGGCGGUGUCUUAUAAAUUCAGGGGAACCUGUUCCUUAAUUUGAUAAUCCACACACCCCCCAACCAAGCUUCACUAAGCCUGUAUACUGCUGUCGUCAGCAAGCCUAAAUCAAAGCUUGCAAACAACUAAACGUCAAGUCAAAGUGCAGCUAAUAGCUUGGAGAGAAAUGGGUUACAACCUAAAAACAGAUACUUAUUAAUAAACUAAACCAAAGGUGAACUUGACAGUAAUAUCACCCAAUAUAAACAUUUAUCUAAGACAUGUACACAUCGCCCGUCACUCCCAUAAAAAUG